UACGUAGGUGGCAAGCGUUGUCCGGAUUUACUGAGCGUAAAGCGUGCGCAGGCGGUUGUGUAAGACAGAUGUGAAAUCCCCGGGCUCAACCUGGGAACUGCAUUUGAGACUGCGUAGCUAGGGUGCGGAAGAGGGAAGCGGAAUUUCCGGUGUAGCGGUGAAAUGCGUAGAUAUCGGAAGGAACACCAGUGGCGAAAGCGGCUUCCUGGUCCAGCACCGACGUUCAGGCACGAAAGCGUGGGGAGCAAACAGG
rnacentral:rRNA from 1 species